GUUUAAAUAGCUUAAAAUUUAAAGUAUAUUAUUGAAGAUAAUAUGAUGAUUUAUUUAAAUCUUUAAACA
rnacentral:tRNA from 1 species